rnacentral:rRNA from 1 species
GACGAACGCUGGCGGCGUGCUUAACACAUGCAAGUCGAACGGAAAGGCCCUGCUUUUGUGGGGUGCUCGAGUGGCGAACGGGUGAGUAACACGUGAGUAACCUGCCCUUGACUUUGGGAUAACUUCAGGAAACUGGGGCUAAUACCGGAUAGGAGCUCCUGCUGCAUGGUGGGGGUUGGAAAGUUUCGGCGGUUGGGGAUGGACUCGCGGCUUAUCAGCUUGUUGGUGGGGUAGUGGCUUACCAAGGCUUUGACGGGUAGCCGGCCUGAGAGGGUGACCGGCCACAUUGGGACUGAGAUACGGCCCAGACUCCUACGGGAGGCAGCAGUGGGGAAUAUUGCACAAUGGGCGGAAGCCUGAUGCAGCAACGCCGCGUGCGGGAUGACGGCCUUCGGGUUGUAAACCGCUUUCGCCUGUGACGAAGCGUGAGUGACGGUAAUGGGUAAAGAAGCACCGGCUAACUACGUGCCAGCAGCCGCGGUGAUACGUAGGGUGCGAGCGUUGUCCGGAUUUAUUGGGCGUAAAGGGCUCGUAGGUGGUUGAUCGCGUCGGAAGUGUAAUCUUGGGGCUUAACCCUGAGCGUGCUUUCGAUACGGGUUGACUUGAGGAAGGUAGGGGAGAAUGGAAUUCCUGGUGGAGCGGUGGAAUGCGCAGAUAUCAGGAGGAACACCAGUGGCGAAGGCGGUUCUCUGGGCCUUUCCUGACGCUGAGGAGCGAAAGCGUGGGGAGCGAACAGGCUUAGAUACCCUGGUAGUCCACGCUGUAAACGGUGGGUACUAGGUGUGGGGUCCAUUCCACGGGUUCCGUGCCGUAGCUAACGCUUUAAGUACCCCGCCUGGGGAGUACGGCCGCAAGGCUAAAACUCAAAGGAAUUGACGGGGCCCCGCACAAGCGGCGGAGCAUGCGGAUUAAUUCGAUGCAACGCGUAGAACCUUACCUGGGUUUGACAUGGAUCGGGAGUGCUCAGAGAUGGGUGUGCCUCUUUUGGGGUCGGUUCACAGGUGGUGCAUGGCUGUCGUCAGCUCGUGUCGUGAGAUGUUGGGUUAAGUCCCGCAACGAGCGCAACCCUUGUUCACUGUUGCCAGCACGUUAUGGUGGGGACUCAGUGGAGACCGCCGGGGUCAACUCGGAGGAAGGUGGGGAUGACGUCAAGUCAUCAUGCCCCUUAUGUCCAGGGCUUCACGCAUGCUACAAUGGCUGGUACAGAGAGUGGCGAGCCUGUGAGGGUGAGCGAAUCUCGGAAAGCCGGUCUCAGUUCGGAUUGGGGUCUGCAACUCGACCUCAUGAAGUCGGAGUCGCUAGUAAUCGCAGAUCAGCAACGCUGCAGUGAAUACGUUCCCGGGGCUUGUACACACCGCCCGUCAAGUCAUGAAAGUUGGUAACACCCGAAGCCAAUGGCCUAACCGUUGUGGGGGAGCCGUCGAAGGU